GCGCGGUUGGUGUAGUGGCCAAGCACAUCACUCUGCUUGUAGUGCAAAGACGUGGGUUCGAAUCCCGGACUGCGUA
rnacentral:tRNA from 2 species